GCAUAUCAUAGCGGAGGAAAAGAAACUAACAAGGAUUCCCCUAGUAACGGCGAGUUGAAGCGGGAAGAGCUUCAAAUUUUGAAAGCUGGCGUCUUUCGGCGUCCGCGUUGUAAUCUCGAGAAGUGUUUUCCGUGCUGGACCAUGUACAAGUUCCUUGGAAUAGGACGUCAUAGAGGGUGAAAAUCCCGUACUUGAUGUGGCCGCCCAGUGCUUUGUGAUACACUUUCCAUGAGUCGAGUUGUUUGGGAAUGCAGCUCAAAAUGGGUGGUAAAUUCCAUCUAAAGCUAAAUAUUGGGGAGAGACCGAUAGCGAACAAGUACCGUGAGGGAAAGAUGAAAAGCACUUUGGAAAGAGAGUUAAAUAGUACGUGAAAUUGUCGAAAGGGAAGCGCUUAAAGUUAGACAUGCUAGUCGGGAUUCAGCCUUGCUUUUGCUUGGUGCAUUUUCCGGUUGGCAGGCCAGCAUCAGUUUUGCCUGUCGGAUAAGGGUGGGAGGAAUGUGGCCCCUCGGGGUGUUAUAGCCUCUCACUGGAUACGGCGGGCGGGACUGAGGAACGCAGUGCGCCUUUAUGGCGGGCCUUCGGGCACCUUCGCACUUAGGAUGCUGGCGUAAUGGCUUUAAGCGACCCGUCUUGAAACACGGACCGAGGAGUCUAACAUGUCUGCGAGUCUUUGGGUGGCAAACCCAUGGGCGCAAUGAAAGUGAAUGCAGGUGGGAUCCUUACGGAGCACCAUCGACCGAUCCGGAUCUUCUGUGAUGGAUUUGAGUAAGAGCAUAUAUGUUGGGACCCGAAAGAUGGUGAACUAUGCCUGAAUAGGGGCGAAGCCAGAGGAAACUCUGGUGGAGGCUCGUAGCGGUUUCUGACGUGCAAAUCGAUCGUCAAAUUUGGGUAUAGGGGGCGAAAGACUAAUCGAACCAUCUAGUAGCAGGUUCCUGCCGA
rnacentral:rRNA from 1 species